AAAGGCGCGCGAUACAGGGUGACAGCCCCGUACACAAAAGCGCAUGUGCUGUGAGCUCGAUGAGUAGGGCGGGACACGUGGUAUCCUGUCUGAAUAUGGGGGGACCAUCCUCCAAGGCUAAAUACUCCUGACUGACCGAUAGUGAACCAGUACCGUGAGGGAAAGGCGAAAAGAACCCCGGCGAGGGGAGUGAAAAAGAACCUGAAACCGUGUACGUACAAGCAGUGGGAGCCCCACCACUAAGCCAGUGGUGAACUCCACAUACGCAUCCUUUGCUGAGGAUACGGUUAACGGAGCGAAAGCGACGUUCAACCUCAAAAGAAGCAGAGGGGGCUUAGUGGUGGGGUGACUGCGUACCUUUUGUAUAAUGGGUCAGCGACUUAUAUUCUGUAGCAAGGUUAACCGAAUAGGGGAGCCGGAGGGAAACCGAGUCUUAAC
rnacentral:rRNA from 1 species